UACAGAGGGUGCGAGCGUUACUCGGAUUUACUGGGCGUAAAGGGCGCGUAGGCGGUUCGUUAAGUGAUAUGUGAAAUCCCUGGGCUUAACCUAGGAACUGCAUGUCAUACUGGCGAGCUAGAGUAUUGUAGAGGGUAGUGGAAUUUCCGGUGUAGCGGUGAAAUGCGUAGAGAUCGGAAGGAACACCAGUGGCGAAGGCGGCGUCCUGGACCAACACUGACACUGAGGAGCGAAAGCCAGGGGAGCAAACGGG
rnacentral:rRNA from 1 species